rnacentral:rRNA from 1 species
AGUGAACGCUGGCGGUAGGCCUAACACAUGCAAGUCGAACGGCAGCACAGUAAGAGCUUGCUCUUACGGGUGGCGAGUGGCGGACGGGUGAGGAAUACAUCGGAAUCUACUUUUUCGUGGGGAAUAACGUAGGGAAACUUACGCUAAUACCGCAUACGACCUACGGGUGAAAGCAGGGGAUCUUCGGACCUUGCGCGAUUGAAUGAGCCGAUGUCGGAUUAGCUAGUUGGCGGGGUAAAGGCCCACCAAGGCGACGAUCCGUAGCUGGUCUGAGAGGAUGAUCAGCCACACUGGAACUGAGACACGGUCCAGACUCCUACGGGAGGCAGCAGUGGGGAAUAUUGGACAAUGGGCGCAAGCCUGAUCCAGCCAUACCGCGUGGGUGAAGAAGGCCUUCGGGUUGUAAAGCCCUUUUGUUGGGAAAGAAAAGCAGCAGGUUAAUACCCCGCUGUUCUGACGGUACCCAAAGAAUAAGCACCGGCUAACUUCAUG